rnacentral:rRNA from 1 species
UACGUAGGGUGCAAGCGUUGUCCGGAAUUAUUGGGCGUAAAGAGCUCGUAGGCGGUUUGUCGCGUCUGCUGUGAAAACUGGAGGCUCAACCUCCAGCCUGCGGUGGGUACGGGCAAACUAGAGUGCGGUAGGGGAGAUUGGAAUUCCUGGUGUAGCGGUGGAAUGCGCAGAUAUCAGGAGGAACACCGAUGGCGAAGGCAGAUCUCUGGGCCGUAACUGACGCUGAGGUGCGAAAGCGUGGGGGAGCAAACAGG